rnacentral:rRNA from 1 species
UACGUAGGUGGCAAGCGUUGUCCGGAUUUACUGGGUGUAAAGGGCGUGUAGCCGGGCUGACAAGUCAGAUGUGAAAUCCGGGGGCUCAACCCCCGAACUGCAUUUGAAACUGUUGGUCUUGAAUAUCGGAGAGGCAGGCGGAAUUCCUAGUGUAGCGGUGAAAUGCGUAGAUAUUAGGAGGAACACCAGUGGCGAAGGCGGCCUGCUGGAUGACAACUGACGGUGAGGCGCGAAAGCGUGGGGAGCAAACAGG